rnacentral:rRNA from 1 species
AAGUCGUAACAAGGUCUCCGUUGGUGAACCAGCGGAGGGAUCAUUACUGAGUACUACACUCUCUACCCUUUGCGAACUAUUAUACCUGUUGCUUCGGCGGCGCCCGCAAGGGUGCCCGCCGGUCUCAUCAGAAUCUCUGUUUUCGAACCCGACGAUACUUCUGAGUGUUCUUAGCGAACUGUCAAAACUUUUAACAACGGAUCUCUUGGCUCCAGCAUCGAUGAAGAACGCAGCGAAACGCGAUAUGUAAUGUGAAUUGCAGAAUUCAGUGAAUCAUCGAAUCUUUGAACGCACAUGGCGCCUUCCAGUAUCCUGGGAGGCAUGCCUGUCCGAGCGUCGUUUCAACCCUCGAGCCCCUGUGGCCCGGCGUUGGGGAUCUGCCACGGCAGGCCCCUAAAACCAGUGGCGGACCCGAAGGGCCCUCUCCUUUGCGCAGUAGCAUUCGCCUCGCAUCGGGAGUCCUCGGCGUCCUGCCUCUAAACCCCCCACAAGCCCGCUUCGGCGGCACCAAGGUUGACCUCGGAUCAGGUAGGAAUACCCGCUGAACUUAA